AUUUUAUGUAAUAUUAAUAGCCACUAGGGGAAGCAAAAUGUGAUCAUGCAGGACAAAUCUCAAUUUCGAAAGAAACAGCACUACAACGUGAGUCCUGCUAAACCACGUCUCUCUUCGGAACACAUUGUCCAUAGAAAACAUCUUGUACGAUGGUAAAAGUGCACACAAGAACAGUGCCAUUAACACUGAAGUAACUGCAAGGAACGAAGAGACAUUCCUUACAGGCUUCCGG